GACGAACGCUGGCGGCAUGCCUAAGACAUGCAAGUCGAACGAGAUGGCCCGAUGACGGAAUAGUGCUUGCACUAUUUUUGAUUUGGAUUUUCCAUCUAGUGGCGAACGGGUGAGUAACACGUGGGUAACCUACCCUUUAGACCGGGAUAACAGUUGGAAACGAUUGCUAAUACCGGAUGAUAUAUAGAGGGGUAUCUUUCUAUAUUAAAAAGGUGCUUUCAAGCGCCGCUUUAGGAUGGGCCUGCGGUGUAUUAGCUAGUUGGUGAGGUAAUUGCUUACCAAGGCGACGAUGCAUAGCCGAGCUGAGAGGUUGGUCGGCCACACUGGGACUGAGACACGGCCCAGACUCCUACGGGAGACAGCAGUUAGGAAUAUUCGGCAAUGGGGGAAACCCUGACCGAGCGAUGCCGCGUGAGUGAUGAAGGCCCUUUGGGUUGUAAAACUCUGUUGUUUGGGAAGAAUGCCUAAAGUAGGAAAUGACUUUAGAGUGACGGUACCAUUCAAGAAAGCCCCGGCUAACUACGUGCCAGCAGCCCGCGGUAAUACGUAGGGGGCGAGCGUUGUCCGGAUUUAUUGGGCGUAAAGCGUGUGUANGUGGGUUAUUAAGUCUGAGGGUAAAGGCUGAAGCUCAACUUCAGUAUGCCUUGGAACUA
rnacentral:rRNA from 1 species